AUGUCAUGGUUUCUAGAAAUGGGCGUGAGCUAUUGGAAUGCCCCAUGUGUUUGGUUCCCAUGUAUCCUCCAAUUCAUCAGUGCUCCAAUGUCCAUGCUAUUUGUUCUGAAUGCAAGCCAAGGGUUCAUAAAUGCUUUGGAGAAGGUUGGCGCCUCUCUAGAGGUUCUGUACAAGUUCCAGAACUUUGGAUGCUUGGGAAUAUAUCCUUAUUAUUGCAAGUUGAAACAUGAAUCAGAGUGUCAAUACAGACCAUAUACUGGCCCACAUGCAGGUUUUAAAUUUUUGUGGAUUUAUGUGAUGGAAUCUUGA
rnacentral:rRNA from 1 species